rnacentral:rRNA from 1 species
AGAGUUUGAUCAUGGCUCAGAUUGAACGCUGGCGGCAGGCCUAACACAUGCAAGUCGAACGGUAACAGGAAGCAGCUUGCUGCUUCGCUGACGAGUGGCGGACGGGUGAGUAAUGUCUGGGAAACUGCCUGAUGGAGGGGGAUAACUACUGGAAACGGUGGCUAAUACCGCAUAACGUCGCAAGACCAAAGAGGGGGACCUUCGGGCCUCUUGCCAUCAGAUGUGCCCAGAUGGGAUUAGCUUGUUGGUGAGGUAACGGCUCACCAAGGCGACGAUCCCUAGCUGGUCUGAGAGGAUGACCAGCCACACUGGAACUGAGACACGGUCCAGACUCCUACGGGAGGCAGCAGUGGGGAAUAUUGCACAAUGGGCGCAAGCCUGAUGCAGCCAUGCCGCGUGUAUGAAGAAGGCCUUCGGGUUGUAAAGUACUUUCAGCGGGGAGGAAGGUGUUGUGGUUAAUAACCGCAGCAAUUGACGUUACCCGCAGAAGAAGCACCGGCUAACUCCGUGCCAGCAGCCGCGGUAAUACGGAGGGUGCAAGCGUUAAUCGGAAUUACUGGGCGUAAAGCGCACGCAGGCGGUCUGUCAAGUCGGAUGUGAAAUCCCCGGGCUCAACCUGGGAACUGCAUUCGAAACUGGCAGGCUUGAGUCUUGUAGAGGGGGGUAGAAUUCCAGGUGUAGCGGUGAAAUGCGUAGAGAUCUGGAGGAAUACCGGUGGCGAAGGCGGCCCCCUGGACAAAGACUGACGCUCAGGUGCGAAAGCGUGGGGAGCAAACAGGAUUAGAUACCCUGGUAGUCCACGCCGUAAACGAUGUCUACUUGGAGGUUGUGCCCUUGAGGCGUGGCUUCCGGAGCUAACGCGUUAAGUAGACCGCCUGGGGAGUACGGCCGCAAGGUUAAAACUCAAAUGAAUUGACGGGGGCCCGCACAAGCGGUGGAGCAUGUGGUUUAAUUCGAUGCAACGCGAAGAACCUUACCUGGUCUUGACAUCCACAGAACUUUCCAGAGAUGAGACUGUGCCUUCGGGAACUGUGAGACAGGUGCUGCAUGGCUGUCGUCAGCUCGUGUUGUGAAAUGUUGGGUUAAGUCCCGCAACGAGCGCAACCCUUAUCCUUUGUUGCCAGCGGUCCGGCCGGGAACUCAAAGGAGACUGCCAGUGAUAAACUGGAGGAAGGUGGGGAUGACGUCAAGUCAUCAUGGCCCUUACGACCAGGGCUACACACGUGCUACAAUGGCGCAUACAAAGAGAAGCGACCUCGCGAGAGCAAGCGGACCUCAUAAAGUGCGUCGUAGUCCGGAUUGGAGUCUGCAACUCGACUCCAUGAAGUCGGAAUCGCUAGUAAUCGUGGAUCAGAAUGCCACGGUGAAUACGUUCCCGGGCCUUGUACACACCGCCCGUCACACCAUGGGAGUGGGUUGCAAAAGAAGUAGGUAGCUUAACCUUCGGGAGGGCGCUUACCACUUUGUGAUUCAUGACUGGGGUGAAGUCGUAACAAGGUAACCGUAGGGGAACCUGCGGUUG